rnacentral:piRNA from 1 species
UCUUUGGCUGUUUAACUGCCGGGUGCUAG